rnacentral:sRNA from 1 species
UAUUCUGCCCCAUGGGGAAGGAUGAGAAGCUUCGACUAAGGUUCGACUCGAGCGCCAGCGAGAGAACGUUGCCACAGGCAACGGCCCGAAGGGCGAGGCGCUUUAGCGCCGAGUAAUCCUUCCCCCACCAC